GAUGAACGCUGGCGGCGUGCUUAACACAUGCAAGUCGAACGGUGAAGGCGGAGCUUGCUCUGCUGGAUCAGUGGCGAACGGGUGAGUAACACGUGAGCAAUCUGCCCCUGACUCUGGGAUAAGCGCUGGAAACGGCGUCUAAUACUGGAUACGAGCUGCGAAGGCAUCUUCAGCAGCUGGAAAGAACUUCUGUCAGGGAUGAGCUCGCGGCCUAUCAGCUUGUUGGUGAGGUAACGGCUCACCAAGGCGUCGACGGGUAGCCGGCCUGAGAGGGUGACCGGCCACACUGGGACUGAGACACGGCCCAGACUCCUACGGGAGGCAGCAGUGGGGAAUAUUGCACAAUGGGCGAAAGCCUGAUGCAGCAACGCCGCGUGAGGGACGACGGCCUUCGGGUUGUAAACCUCUUUUAGCAGGGAAGAAGCGAAAGUGACGGUACCUGCAGAAAAAGCGCCGGCUAACUACGUG
rnacentral:rRNA from 1 species